UACGAAGGGUGCAAGCGUUGCUCGGAAUUAUUGGGCGUAAAGCGCACGUAGGCGGUAUUGCAAGUCGGAUGUGAAAUCCCUCGGCUUAACCAAGGAAGUGCAUCCGAAACUGCUGUACUUGAGUACGAAAGAGGAUCGCGGAAUUCCCGGUGUAGAGGUGAAAUUCGUAGAUAUCGGGAGGAACACCAGUGGCGAAGGCGGCGAUCUGGGUCGAUACUGACGCUGAGGUGCGAAAGCGUGGGGAGCAAACAGG
rnacentral:rRNA from 1 species